AGCAGCCGCGGUAAUUCCAGCUCCAAUAGCGUAUAUUAAAGUUGUUGCAGUUAAAAAGCUCGUAGUUGAAUUUCGGGAUUGACGUGAUGGUCAUGCCUUAAGGGGUAUGAACUGUUACUGUUGAUUUCUCACCUUCUGGAGAAACUUGAUGUCCUUUAUUGGGUGUCUUGCGGAUCCAGGACCUUUACCUUGAAAAAAUUAGAGUGUUUAAAGCAGGCAUUUUUGCUCGAAUACAUUAGCAUGGAAUAAUAGAAUAGGACGGCAUGGUUCUAUUUUGUUGGUUUCUAGGAUCACCGUAAUGAUUAAUAGGGAUAGUUGGGGGCAUUAGUAUUCAAUUGUCAGAGGUGAAAUUCUUGGAUUUAUUGAAGACUAACUACUGCGAAAGCAUUUGCCAAGGAUGUUUUCAUUAAUCAAGAAUGAAAGUUAGGGGAUCGAAGACGAUCAGAUACCGUCGUAGUCUUAACCAUAAACUAUGCCGACUAGGAAUCAGACGAUGUUAAUUUUUUAAUGACUCGUUUGG
rnacentral:misc_RNA from 1 species